rnacentral:rRNA from 1 species
CCUACGGGUGGAGGCAGUGGGGAAUAUUGGACAAUGGGCGAAAGCCUGAUCCAGCCAUGCCGCGUGUGUGAAGAAGGCCUUCGGGUUGUAAAGCACUUUCAGUGGGGAAGAAAGCCUUGGGGCUAAUACCCUCGAGGAAGGACAUCACCCACAGAAGAAGCACCGGCUAACUCCGUGCCAGCAGCCGCGGUAAUACGGAGGGUGCGAGCGUUAAUCGGAAUUACUGGGCGUAAAGCGCGCGUAGGCGGUCUGAUAAGCCGGUUGUGAAAGCCCCGGGCUCAACCUGGGAACGGCAUCCGGAACUGUCAGGCUAGAGUGCAGGAGAGGAAGGUAGAAUUCCCGGUGUAGCGGUGAAAUGCGUAGAGAUCGGGAGGAAUACCAGUGGCGAAGGCGGCCUUCUGGACUGACACUGACGCUGAGGUGCGAAAGCGUGGGUAGCAAACAGGAUUAGAUACCCUUGUAGUC